UACGGAGGGGGCUAGCGUUGUGCGGAAUUACUGGGCGUAAAGCGCACGUAGGCGGCUUUGUAAGUUAGAGGUGAAAGCCCGGGGCUCAACUCCGGAACUGCCUUUAAGACUGCAUCGCUUGAAUCAUGGAGAGGUCAGUGGAAUUCCGAGUGUAGAGGUGAAAUUCGUAGAUAUUCGGAAGAACACCAGUGGCGAAGGCGACUGACUGGACAUGUAUUGACGCUGAGGUGCGAAAGCGUGGGGAGCAAACAGG
rnacentral:rRNA from 1 species